rnacentral:lncRNA from 1 species
UAUAUAUAUAUAUAUACGUAUUGAUAUUGAAUUUAUUGAUAGUAAUUGUUGAAUUUUGAAUAAUAUGUUUAGUAAAUAAAAAUAAGGAGAAUAUCGAUAUUUAAUUGAAUGAAUUAAAAAUAUGAAUUGAAUAAAAGUGAAUUAAAUUAUGAAUAAGUGUGAAUACGUGAAUUGAGUAUUGACUGAAAAGUGGUUUGAUUCGAAUCGAAGUAUGAUUUGUGAAAUAUGUAUUGGUACUGAACUGUACAUUGAUUUGAAUGUGGGAAGUGAAUUUGAAAUAGAAAAAUGUAUUGAAUCAAAUGGUGAUUAAAUUGGAAUGAUUUGAAUUGAAAGUAUGAGAAAGUGAUUGAAUUGAAAUGUGAUUCGGAAACCCUAUUAACUAGUCGGGCUGAGUCGGAUAUAGUUGGCAUGCCAUAGAAUUGGAAGUGUUCAGGGAUACUUCGACCUUGAGUCGAUGAGACACUGGGUGUCAUACUGUUACUUCGAAUAGAUUCGAUGAGGUACUGGGUACCAACUUACUUCGGCUUUGCCGAUGAGACACUGGGUGUCAACUAUUGCUUCGAACUAUCCGAUGAGGCACUGGGUGCCAUUCUGGUGUGUUUGGUUGGAUCUGUGUAUCCGCCAAGGUCCGAGUCUUGUUAAUAGGGGUAAAUAAUUGAAAUGAGAAAAUUUGAAUAAGUGUGACUGAUUGGGAUAUGGAAAGAAAUGAGAAAGUGAAAUUGUGAAUUGAUAUGUGAAUUGGAAAUCGAGAUAUGAGAUUUAAAUAUAUGAACCCAAAGUUCAUAAUAUGAUAAAGAGUAAAUUUUGUUAUAUGAUAUUAGUGAGUAAAAAUUGCAAUAAAAUUGAUAUUGAAUAUAAAUUAAAUGAAAUGAAUUGUAUAUGAAUUGAAAUGAACUAUUGGAAUGAGAUGUAAAGAAAAAAAAUCCCACGGAAUUGAGAUAGUGAAAUAAGGU